rnacentral:rRNA from 1 species
UACAGAGGUCCCCAAGCGUUGUUCGGAUUCACUGGGCGUAAAGGGUGCGCAGGUGGUUUGGCAAGUUUGACGUGAAAGCCCCGGGCUUAACCCGGGAAUGGCGUUGAAAACUGCUUGAACUGGAGGAUUGGAGGGGGGACUGGAAUUCUUGGUGUAGCAGUGAAAUGCGUAGAUAUCAAGAGGAACACCAGUGGCGAAGGCGAGUCCCUGGACAAUACCUGACACUGAGGCACGAAAGCCAAGGGAGCAAACAGGAUUAGAAACCCGU